GAUGAACGCUAGCGAUAGGCUUAACACAUGCAAGUCGAGGGGCAGCACAAGGUAGCUUGCUAUCUGGGUGGCGACCGGCGCACGGGUGCGUAACGCGUAUGCAACUUGCCCUAUACAGGAGGAUAACCCGUCGAAAGACGGACUAAUACUGCGUAUGCUCACAACUUGGCAUCAAGUGGUGAGGAAAGAAAUUCGGUAUAGGAUAGGCAUGCGUCCCAUUAGCUUGUUGGUGAGGUAACGGCUCACCAAGGCAACGAUGGGUAGGGGAACUGAGAGGUAUAUCCCCCACACUGGUACUGAGACACGGACCAGACUCCUACGGGAGGCAGCAGUGAGGAAUAUUGGUCAAUGGGCGCGAGCCUGAACCAGCCAAGUCGCGUGAAGGAUGACUGUCUUAUGGAUUGUAAACUUCUUUUAUACGGGAAUAACAAGAGUCACGUGUGACUCCCUGCAUGUACCGUAUGAAUAAGCAUCGGCUAACUCCGUG
rnacentral:rRNA from 1 species